GAUGAACGCUGGCGGCGUGCCUAAUACAUGCAAGUCGAGCGAACAGAUGAGGAGCUUGCUCCUCUGACGUUAGCGGCGGACGGGUGAGUAACACGUGGAUAACCUACCUAUAAGACUGGGAUAACUCCGGGAAACCGGAGCUAAUACCGGAUAAUAUAUUGAACCGCAUGGUUCAAUAGUGAAAGACGGUUUUGCUGUCACUUAUAGAUGGAUCCGCGCCGCAUUAGCUAGUUGGUAAGGUAACGGCUUACCAAGGCAACGAUGCGUAGCCGACCUGAGAGGGUGAUCGGCCACACUGGAACUGAGACACGGUCCAGACUCCUACGGGAGGCAGCAGUAGGGAAUCUUCCGCAAUGGGCGAAAGCCUGACGGAGCAACGCCGCGUGAGUGAUGAAGGUCUUCGGAUCGUAAAACUCUGUUAUUGGGGAAGAACAAAUGUGUAAGUAACUAUGCACGUCUUGACGGUACCUAAUCAGAAAGCCACGGCUAACUACGUG
rnacentral:rRNA from 1 species